ACUGAAACAGCCAUAAAAACAAUCUGCACAUUGGCAUUGAGGACACAGAUAAACUUGCAUAAAUCCCUUAUGGUGUCAGAGGGAUGCUUUGUAUGAGUCCUUAAUAGAUUAAUUAAUAGGUUAAUUAAGUUCUUGCUGUUUUCAUUUGGAAAUGAUACUGUCCUCUUGGGGCUAUUCAGAGAUGUUCAUGGUGAUGAAACGAGCUGGCCUGGAAUGGCAGUUCCCAGGUAGCAGAGCCUGGGCUUGAGGAAGGUGGAACGUGGGUGUGGCAAGGAGCUGGCAGGUGCAAAUGUCAGGCCAGCAAUGCAGUCCAGCCUGCACGGACGUGCGUCACCUAGGAAGUUGUGACCUGGCUGCAGUUUCCACUUCAGGCUACAGAGUGCGGUGGCGCCAGCACAGAGCUCUGCUCAACGUCCCUCUGUGCUUUCACGAUGCUGAUGGAUUAUGAAGAUGAGGAAGCGGAUGCAUAGCAAGUUUAAAUAGCUUGCAGAAGGACACACAGUUUGCAAGUGAAGGAGCUCAAAUUCAAAGACUGGCAGUCUGCAUCCAGAGUUGAUCAUCUUAAAUACCAUGCUGAACCGGUUGCUCUCAAAGUCUAAACAGUAUUUUUUACAAUAAGAUAUCCUUUUGUAGGUCAACGAAUAGUUUCUAAUUCUUUUUAAAAUAAAAUACAAUGAACUGAAUACAAUUUAAUGCAUCAGAGUAAAUUUUACAUAGCAAAGUAUGUAUUAUUUUCUUUCAGCUAUGCAAUUCCACUAGUAUGAGGUAUCUACUGUAGUGAAACUCACAGAAACAGAAAG
rnacentral:lncRNA from 1 species